rnacentral:rRNA from 1 species
UACGGGGGGGGCAAGCGUUGUUCGGAAUUACUGGGCGUAAAGGGCUCGUAGGUGGCCAACUAAGUCGGACGUGAAAUCCCUCAGCUUAACUGGGGAACUGCGUCCGAUACUGGAUGGCUUGAGUUUGGGAGAGGGAUGCGGAAUUCCAGGUGUAGCGGUGAAAUGCGUAGAUAUCUGGAGGAAUACCGGUGGCGAAGGCGCAUCCUGGACCG